AUUGAACGCUGGCGGCAUGCCUUACACAUGCAAGUCGAACGGUAACAGGUCUUCGGAUGCUGACGAGUGGCGAACGGGUGAGUAAUACAUCGGAACGUGCCUAGUAGUGGGGGAUAACUACUCGAAAGAGUGGCUAAUACCGCAUGAGAUCUACGGAUGAAAGCAGGGGAUCGCAAGACCUUGUGCUACUAGAGCGGCCGAUGGCAGAUUAGGUAGUUGGUGGGAUAAAAGCUUACCAAGCCGACGAUCUGUAGCUGGUCUGAGAGGACGAUCAGCCACACUGGGACUAAGACACGGCCCAGACUCCUACGGGAGGCAGCAGUGGGGAAUUUUGGACAAUGGGCGCAAGCCUGAUCCAGCAAUGCCGCGUGCAGGAUGAAGGCCUUCGGGUUGUAAACUGCUUUUGUACGGAACGAAAAGCCCUGGGUUAAUACCCUGGGGUCAUGACGGUACCGUAAGAAUAAGCACCGGCUAACACGUGCCAGCCGCCGCAGUAAAAC
rnacentral:rRNA from 1 species